UAGAGUUUGAUCCUGGCUCAGGAUGAACGCUAGCGGCAGGCUUAACACAUGCAAGUCGAGGGGCAUCGGGAGGGAAGCUUGCUUUCCUUGCCGGCGACCGGCGCACGGGUGAGUAACACGUAUGCAACCUGCCCUCUUCAGGGGGACAACCUUCCGAAAGGGAGGCUAAUCCCGCGUAUAUCGGUUUCGGGCAUCCGAGAUCGAGGAAAGAUUCAUCGGAAGAGGAUGGGCAUGCGGCGCAUUAGCUAGACGGCGGGGUAACGGCCCACCGUGGCGACGAUGCGUAGGGGUUCUGAGAGGAAGGUCCCCCACACUGGUACUGAGACACGGACCAGACUCCUACGGGAGGCAGCAGUGAGGAAUAUUGGUCAAUGGACGAGAGUCUGAACCAGCCAAGUAGCGUGAAGGAUGACUGCCCUAUGGGUUGUAAACUUCUUUUAUAUGGGAAUAAAAUGUUCCACGUGUGGGAUUUUGUAUGUACCAUAUGAAUAAGCAUCGGCUAACUCCGUGCCAGCAGCCGCGGUAAUACGGAGGAUGCGAGCGUUAUCCGGAUUUAUUGGGUUUAAAGGGUGCGUAGGCGGAUUUUUAAGUCAGCGGUAAAAUGUCCGGGCUCAACCCGGGCCGGCCGUUGAAACUGGGGAUCUUGAGUGGGCGAGAAGUAUGUGGAAUGCGUGGUGUAGCGGUGAAAUGCAUAGAUAUCACGCAGAACUCCGAUUGCGAAGGCAGCAUACCGGCGCCCGACUGACGCUGAGGCACGAAAGCGUGGGGAUCGAACAGGAUUAGAUACCCUGGUAGUCCACGCAGUAAACGAUG
rnacentral:rRNA from 1 species